rnacentral:rRNA from 1 species
GAUCAUGGCUCAGGAUGAACGCUAGCUACAGGCUUAACACAUGCAAGUCGAGGGGCAGCAUGUUGGUUGCUUGCAACCAAUGAUGGCGACCGGCGCACGGGUGAGUAACGCAUAUCCAACCUACCCUUGUCCAUCGGAUAACCCUUCGAAAGGCGGCCUAACACGAUAUGCGGUUCACAGCAGGCAUCUAACGUGAACGAAAUGUAAAGGAGAAGGAUGGGGAUGCGU